rnacentral:rRNA from 1 species
GACGAACGCUGGCGGCGUGCUUAACACAUGCAAGUCGAACGAUGAAGCCGGAGCUUGCUCCGGUGGAUUAGUGGCGAACGGGUGAGUAACACGUGAGCAAUCUGCCCUUGACUCUGGGAUAACUGCGGGAAACUGUAGCUAAUACCGGAUACGACACCUUGGGGCAUCCCAGGGUAUGGAAAGAAUUUCGGUCAAGGAUGAGCUCGCGGCCUAUCAGCUAGUUGGUGAGGUAAUGGCUAACCAAGGCGACGACGGGUAGCCGGCCUGAGAGGGUGACCGGCCACACUGGAACUGAGACACGGUCCAGACUCCUACGGGAGGCAGCAGUGGGGAAUAUUGCACAAUGGGCGAAAGCCUGAUGCAGCAACGCCGCGUGAGGGAUGAAGGCCUUCGGGUUGUAAACCUCUUUUAGCAGGGAAGAAGCGAAAGUGACGGUACCUGCAGAAAAAGCACCGGCUAACUACGUGCCAGCCGCCGCAGUAA